CCUACGGGUGGCUGCAGUUAGGAAUUUUGCGCAAUGGACGAAAGUCUGACGCAGCGACGCCGCGUGAGGGAUGAAGGCCUUCGGGUUGUAAACCUCUUUUAGCAGGAAAGAAACAAAUGACGGUACCUGCAGAAAAAGCACCGGCUAACUCUGUGCCAGCAGCCGCGGUAAUACAGAGGGUGCAAGCGUUAUUCGGAAUUAUUGGGCGUAAAGAGCACGUAGGUGGUUCGGUAAGUCAGAUGUGAAAGCCCUGGUCUCAAUCCAGGAAGUGCAUCUGAUACUGCCAGACUAGAGUAUAGGAGAGGAGAGCGGAAUUCCCGGUGUAGAGGUGAAAUUCAUAGAUAUCGGGAGGAACAACAGAGGCGAAGGCGGCUCUCUGGACUAUUACUGACACUGAGGUGCGAAAGCGUGGGGAGCAAACAGGAUUAGAUACCCUAGUAGUC
rnacentral:rRNA from 1 species